AAUCAUAACCUCAAUGAUUAUUGCAAUGUUGAGUCAAAAGGUUAGUAAAAAUGAGAUAUACAAAUACAAAUUUAAUAUUUGUAGCCCCUUCAGUAACAAUAAUAUAGUUCGGCUAAACAGGAAUAAAAACUAAUACAAUGGUUUUCAAUUGAAGAAAUAUAAUGACUCAGAACAUAAUAAAGAUAUUUGCUCAAAUAAAGAUUAUGAAUGCAAAGUAAGAAUAUAAAAUAAUAAUCCACCAUCAUCACGAAAAAAUGAUUUGAAGAAGAAUAAAUUUUUUUACAGCAAUAAAUGAUGACACUCGUGUCAUGUGUCAUGGAAUUGUUUUAGCAAAAAUAUGAUUUAAAAGUCGGUGGAUGAAAUUUGGCUGAACUGACAAGAAACAAUUAAGACAAUAUUUGAGCAAUACGUUCAUAAAGGAAUUAGCUGCACUUUGUUCUUAAUAAAUAAUGAAAGUAAAUAGAGCAAAAAUAUAUUUAAAAAUUCAGAGACUAAAAUCUUCUUUAUUGUCUAAAGUGUAAUUCGAUGAAGAAUUAAUAUGUUUUUGGUAUUGUUGAAAGGACUGCCUAGCUGUCAAUAACUUGAAAAUAAUGAAUAUUUUUAGAGAUACAUUUACAAACAGAAAGCAGUGAAAUGGUUUCAAUUUGAUAAACAAAGGUUGCCAAGAAUUUUACACAAGAC